UCCAGGGUAAGUGGGAGAACGCU
rnacentral:misc_RNA from 1 species